rnacentral:rRNA from 1 species
GACGAGCGCUGGCGGCGUGCUUAACACAUGCCAGUCGAACGGAAAGGCCCUGCUUUUGUGGGGUGCUCGAGUGGCGAACGGGUGAGUAACACGUGAGUAACCUGCCCUUGACUUUGGGAUAACUUCAGGAAACUGGGGCUAAUACCGGAUAGGAGCUCCUGCUGCAUGGUGGGGGUUGGAAAGUUUCGGCGGUUGGGGAUGGACUCGCGGCUUAUCAGCUUGUUGGUGGGGUAGUGGCUUACCAAGGCUUUGACGGGUAGCCGGCCUGAGAGGGUGACCGGCCACAUUGGGACUGAGAUACGGCCCAGACUCCUACGGGAGGCAGCAGUGGGGAAUAUUGCACAAUGGGCGGAAGCCUGAUGCAGCAACGCCGCGUGCGGGAUGACGGCCUUCGGGUUGUAAGCCGCUUUCGCCUGUGACGAAGCGUGAGUGACGGUAAUGGGUAAAGAAGCACCGGCUAACUACGUG